AACCAAACACACAGCGUCUUCACAACAUAGCGUCGGCAGCAACAAUAAAGUUACGCCUUCUUUCUUUGCAUGAACAUUUUGGUGGCGUUAUGCAAA